rnacentral:lncRNA from 1 species
GUUUGUUGUUAGAAUAUCUAUCCUAGUAGGAAGAUGGAAAGAAUAUACUAUACACUAUAGGAGAGUCAAAGAAUAGGCCUGUUGGAACUAUAUCAAGAUUAGAAUGACAAGGAAUAUCCGUAUCCGUAUAUAAUAAGUUGGGCUCUAUCCUUCCCGCCCACCUAAAACAUAUCUGGAGGGAAGAAUCCGAGGGUAGCCUGAUGAUUAAGGGACAGGGACACUGUCAACAGGGUAUGGUUCUUUUUUAUCACCCGGAUGACGCACACUGCUUUAAAUAAAGCGCAGUGAAUAAUGCGCUAGACCGCC